CCUACGGGAGGCAGCAGUGAGGAAUAUUGGUCAAUGGCCGGAAGGCUGAACCAGCCAAGCCGCGUGAAGGACGAAGGUCCCAAGCAUUGUAAACUUCUUUUGUCAAGGGACAAAAUCAGGCUCGAGAGCCUGACCGAGGGUACCUCAAGAAAAAACAUCGGCUAACCCCGUUCCAGCCGCCGCGGGAAUACGGAGGAUGCGAGCGGUUUCCGGAUUUAUUGGGGUUAAAGGGUGCGUAGGCGGAAGGGCAAGUCAGCGGUAAAAUGGCGGGGCUAAACCACGUGCCGGCGUUGAAACUGGCGGUCUUGAGUGGGCGAGAAGUAUGCGGAAUGCGUGGUGUAGCGGUGAAAUGCAUAGAUAUCACGCAGAACCCCGAUUGCGAAGGCAGCAUGCCGGCUUCCGACUGACGCUGAAGCACGAAAGCGUGGGGAUCGAACAGGAUUAGAUACCCCAGUAGUC
rnacentral:rRNA from 1 species